UACGGAGGGAGCUAGCGUUGUUCGGAAUUACUGGGCGUAAAGCGCGCGUAGGCGGCUUUGUAAGUUAGAGGUGAAAGCCCGGAGCUCAACUCCGGAACUGCCUUUAAAACUGCAUCGCUUGAAUCCAGGAGAGGUGAGUGGAAUUCCGAGUGUAGAGGUGAAAUUCAUAGAUAUUCGGAAGAACACCAGUGGCGAAGGCGGCUCACUGGACUGGUAUUGACGCUGAGGUGCGAAAGCGUGGGGAGCAAACAGG
rnacentral:rRNA from 1 species